rnacentral:rRNA from 1 species
CCUACGGGUGGCUGCAGUGGGGAAUAUUGGACAAUGGGCGAAAGCCUGAUCCAGCCAUGCCGCGUGUGUGAAGAAGGCCUUCGGGUUGUAAAGCACUUUCAGUGGGGAAGAAAGCCUUUGGCUAAUACCCUCGAGGAAGGACAUCACCCACAGAAGAAGCACCGGCUAACCUCGGUCCAGCAGCCGCGGUAAUACGGAGGGUGCGAGCGUUAAUCGGAAUUACUGGGCGUAAAGCGCGCGUAGGCGGUCUGAUAAGCCGGUUGUGAAAGCCCCGGGCUCAACCUGGGAACGGCAUCCGGAACUGUCAGGCUAGAGUGCAGGAGAGGAAGGUAGAAUUCCCGGUGUAGCAGUGAAAUGCGUAGAGAUCGGGAGGAAUACCAGUGGCGAAGGCGGCCUUCUGGACUGACACUGACGCUGAGGUGCGAAAGCGUGGGUAGCAAACAGGAUUAGAUACCCGAGUAGUC